GGGGUUGUAGUUCAGUGGUAGAACGCUUGCCUAUCAUGUGUGAGACCCUGGGUUCAAUUCUCAGCACCUCA
rnacentral:tRNA from 1 species